rnacentral:rRNA from 1 species
UUAAGCGACUAAGCGUACACGGUGGAUGCCCUGGCAGUCAGAGGCGAUGAAGGACGUGCUAAUCUGCGAUAAGCGUCGGUAAGGUGAUAUGAACCGUUAUAACCGGCGAUUUCCGAAUGGGGAAACCCAGUGUGUUUCGACACACUAUCAUUAACUGAAUCCAUAGGUUAAUGAGGCGAACCGGGGGAACUGAAACAUCUAAGUACCCCGAGGAAAAGAAAUCAACCGAGAUUCCCCCAGUAGCGGCGAGCGAACGGGGAGCAGCCCAGAGCCUGAAUCAGUGUGUGUGUUAGUGGAAGCGUCUGGAAAGGCGCGCGAUACAGGGUGACAGCCCCGUACACAAAAAUGCACAUGCUGUGAGCUCGAUGAGUAGGGCGGGACACGUGGUAUCCUGUCUGAAUAUGGGGGGACCAUCCUCCAAGGCUAAAUACUCCUGACUGACCGAUAGUGAACCAGUACCGUGAGGGAAAGGCGAAAAGAACCCCGGCGAGGGGAGUGAAAAAGAACCUGAAACCGUGUACGUACAAGCAGUGGGAGCACGCUUAGGCGUGUGACUGCGUACCUUUUGUAUAAUGGGUCAGCGACUUAUAUUCUGUAGCAAGGUUAACCGAAUAGGGGAGCCGAAGGGAAACCGAGUCUUAACUGGGCGUUAAGUUGCAGGGUAUAGACCCGAAACCCGGUGAUCUAGCCAUGGGCAGGUUGAAGGUUGGGUAACACUAACUGGAGGACCGAACCGACUAAUGUUGAAAAAUUAGCGGAUGACUUGUGGCUGGGGGUGAAAGGCCAAUCAAACCGGGAGAUAGCUGGUUCUCCCCGAAAGCUAUUUAGGUAGCGCCUCGUGAAUUCAUCUCCGGGGGUAGAGCACUGUUUCGGCAAGGGGGUCAUCCCGACUUACCAACCCGAUGCAAACUGCGAAUACCGGAGAAUGUUAUCACGGGAGACACACGGCGGGUGCUAACGUCCGUCGUGAAGAGGGAAACAACCCAGACCGCCAGCUAAGGUCCCAAAGUCAUGGUUAAGUGGGAAACGAUGUGGGAAGGCCCAGACAGCCAGGAUGUUGGCUUAGAAGCAGCCAUCAUUUAAAGAAAGCGUAAUAGCUCACUGGUCGAGUCGGCCUGCGCGGAAGAUGUAACGGGGCUAAACCAUGCACCGAAGCUGCGGCAGCGACGCUUAUGCGUUGUUGGGUAGGGGAGCGUUCUGUAAGCCUGNGCUGGAGGUAUCAGAAGUGCGAAUGCUGACAUAAGUAACGAUAAAGCGGGUGAAAAGCCCGCUCGCCGGAAGACCAAGGGUUCCUGUCCAACGUUAAUCGGGGCAGGGUGAGUCGACCCCUAAGGCGAGGCCGAAAGGCGUAGUCGAUGGGAAACAGGUUAAUAUUCCUGUACUUGGUGUUACUGCGAAGGGGGGACGGAGAAGGCUAUGUUGGCCGGGCGACGGUUGUCCCGGUUUAAGCGUGUAGGCUGGUUUUCCAGGCAAAUCCGGAAAAUCAAGGCUGAGGCGUGAUGACGAGGCACUACGGUGCUGAAGCAACAAAUGCCCUGCUUCCAGGAAAAGCCUCUAAGCAUCAGGUAACAUCAAAUCGUACCCCAAACCGACACAGGUGGUCAGGUAGAGAAUACCAAGGCGCUUGAGAGAACUCGGGUGAAGGAACUAGGCAAAAUGGUGCCGUAACUUCGGGAGAAGGCACGCUGAUAUGUAGGUGAAGUCCCUCGCGGAUGGAGCUGAAAUCAGUCGAAGAUACCAGCUGGCUGCAACUGUUUAUUAAAAACACAGCACUGUGCAAACACGAAAGUGGACGUAUACGGUGUGACGCCUGCCCGGUGCCGGAAGGUUAAUUGAUGGGGUUAGCGCAAGCGAAGCUCUUGAUCGAAGCCCCGGUAAACGGCGGCCGUAACUAUAACGGUCCUAAGGUAGCGAAAUUCCUUGUCGGGUAAGUUCCGACCUGCACGAAUGGCGUAAUGAUGGCCAGGCUGUCUCCACCCGAGACUCAGUGAAAUUGAACUCGCUGUGAAGAUGCAGUGUACCCGCGGCAAGACGGAAAGACCCCGUGAACCUUUACUAUAGCUUGACACUGAACAUUGAGCCUUGAUGUGUAGGAUAGGUGGGAGGCUUUGAAGUGUGGACGCCAGUCUGCAUGGAGCCGACCUUGAAAUACCACCCUUUAAUGUUUGAUGUUCUAACGUNAUCCGGGUUGCGGACAGUGUCUGGUGGGUAGUUUGACUGGGGCGGUCUCCUCCUAAAGAGUAACGGAGGAGCACGAAGGUUGGCUAAUCCUGGUCGGACAUCAGGAGGUUAGUGCAAUGGCAUAAGCCAGCUUGACUGCGAGCGUGACGGCGCGAGCAGGUGCGAAAGCAGGUCAUAGUGAUCCGGUGGUUCUGAAUGGAAGGGCCAUCGCUCAACGGAUAAAAGGUACUCCGGGGAUAACAGGCUGAUACCGCCCAAGAGUUCAUAUCGACGGCGGUGUUUGGCACCUCGAUGUCGGCUCAUCACAUCCUGGGGCUGAAGUAGGUCCCAAGGGUAUGGCUGUUCGCCAUUUAAAGUGGUACGCGAGCUGGGUUUAGAACGUCGUGAGACAGUUCGGUCCCUAUCUGCCGUGGGCGCUGGAGAACUGAGGGGGGCUGCUCCUAGUACGAGAGGACCGGAGUGGACGCAUCACUGGUGUUCGGGUUGUCAUGCCAAUGGCACUGCCCGGUAGCUAAAUGCGGAAGAGAUAAGUGCUGAAAGCAUCUAAGCACGAAACUUGCCCCGAGAUGAGUUCUCCCUGAC